AGUGGCGGACGGGUGAGUAACGCGUAAGAAUCUAACUUCAGGACGGGGACAACAGUGGGAAACGACUGCUAAUACCCGAUGUGCCGCGAGGUGAAACCUAAUUGGCCUGAAGUAGAGCUUGCGUCUGAUUAGCUAGUUGGUGGGGUAAGAGCCUACCAAGGCGACGAUCAGUAGCUGGUCUGAGAGGAUGAGCAGCCACACUGGGACUGAGACACGGCCCAGACUCCUACGGGAGGCAGCAGUGGGGAAUUUUCCGCAAUGGGCGAAAGCCUGACGGAGCAACGCCGCGUGAGGGAGGAAGGUCUUUGGAUUGUAAACCUCUUUUCUCAAGGAAGAAGUUCUGACGGUACUUGAGGAAUCAGCCUCGGCUAACUCCGUGCCAGCAGCCGCGGUAAUACGGGGGAGGCAAGCGUUAUCCGGAAUUAUUGGGCGUAAAGCGUCCGCAGGUGGUCAGCCAAGUCUGCCGUCAAAUCAGGUUGCUUAACGACCUAAGGCGGUGGAAACUGGCAGACUAGAGAGCAGUAGGGGUAGCAGGAAUUCCCAGUGUAGCGGUGAAAUGCGUAGAGAUUGGGAAGAACAUCGGUGGCGAAAGCGUGCUACUGGGCUGUAUCUGACACUCAGGGACGAAAGCUAGGGGAGCGAAAGGGAUUAGAUACCCCUGUAGUCCUAGCCGUAAACGAUGGAUACUAGGCGUGGCUUG
rnacentral:rRNA from 1 species